GUGGCUUCGGGAACAUCCGAUAAAAGUGGAACGAUAUAGAGAAGAUUAGCUUGGCCCUUGCGCAAGGAUGACAAGCACAAAUCAAAAAAUGGUAUUAGAGACU